ACUCCUGCAUGUGCUGGUACUAGGACCCGUAGGACACUGGAGAAGCGGGCAGGGGGCGCCGACACAGGGUUGCUGUGCGUUGUAACCACCACCCCUCAGCUCCACACCUUCCUUCCUCCAGUCAAACCCACCUUCUCCGGCCAUGAACUUCUCCAGGAAGCUGUCCCAGGUCCCGGGCUCAGGGUGCACCUUGGCCAUGUGGUAGAAGUGAUAGUAGGAAACCGCCACAUCCUUCGCGUUGCGGGCAACAUAGACCACCUGCAGGGGCAGAGGUCCCGGCCCCAGCACCAUCACCACACAGCCCGCCCCAGGCCAGCUCAUCUCUUGGAUUGGCAAAGGAGGAACCUGAGGCUUAGCGGCUGACCUGCUUGAGAUCUUAUGGCACAGACCCUUGCCAGAGCAAGAAGCAGAUGGUGUCUCCGCUGAAGAUGAGACCAGGCUGAAGGAAGAGGCGCGACCUUCCCAGAAGAACAGGACCAAAGCUGGGCUGCGCCGGAGCCUCCUUCCUGGAUUCCCAUUCCCCACAUCUGGAUGUUUUUUGUUCUUUUUGUUUUGUUUCUUUCUUUGAGUCGGGGUCUCUCUCUGUCACACAGGCUGGAAUGCAGUGGUGUGAUCAUGGCUCACUGCAGCCUCAAACUUCUGGGCUGGGUGAUCCUCCCACAUCAGUCUCCCAAGAAGCUGAUACCACAGGCACAUGCUACCACACGUGGCUUUUUUUUUUUUUUUUUUUUUUUUUUGGAGCGGGGGAAGAGACUGCAUCCCUAUAUGGCCCAUGCUGGUUUCCAACUCCUGGCCUCAAGUCAGCCUCCUGCCUUGGACUCCCAAAGUGCUGAGCUGACAGGCAUAAGCCACUGUGCCCGGCCUCACCUUGACCUGAUCUAACAGAGUCUGGGGGAGCAGGGCCAAGGGCAGAGCUGUUCAAAAUCCCAGGGCCUGGGCCAUGGUGCAGACCAGUGAAAGCACCCUCGUGGGGCAGGAGGCCCAGAUAUCAGGGUGUGUGAAGGUCUCCAGGAGAGUCCAGCUGCACUGAGGAAGCUCUAGGACCUGCCUGUGCUGCCUCCCUGCCAGCCAGCGCCCUUUGUCUCACCAUUUCCUGCUGUGACCCCCAGCCUCCACCCAGUGGGCUCCUCUCCCCAGUGCUCCCCUCCUUGAGCCCCUGAACCCCUCACAUGUGGAAACCUCCCAGGCCGGCCAGGCCUGUGAUCCACCUGCCCGGCCACAGUCCAUCUGGGCUCCAGGACAAGCAUGGUCCAUUGAGCAACUGAGCUGGUAUUGGGAGCCAGAGCUGGUGUGGGAAUGAACAAAACUCUGAUGAUUCUGCAGAAUGAGGAGGGGACACCGUGGCUCAUGCCUGUAAUCCCAGAGCUUUGGAAGCCCAGUGGGGAAGAAUCACUUGAGCCUUGGAAUUUGAGACCAACUUGGGCAAUACAGCAAGACCCCAUCUCUAGAAAAAAAUAUAUUUAAAACUGAGCUGGGCAGCCAGGUGCGGAGGCUCACACCUGUAAUCCCAGCAUUUUGGGAGGCCGAGGUGGGCGGAUCACCUGAGGUCGGGAGUUCGAGACCAGCCUGACCAACAUGGAGCAACCCCUUCUCUACGAAAAAUACAAAAUAAGCAGGGCAUGAUAGCACAUGCCUGUAAUCCCAGCUCCUUGGGAGACUAAGGCAGAAGAGUCGCUUGAACCCAGGAGGCGGAUGUUGCAGUGAGCUGUAUCACGCCAUUGCAUUCCAGCCUGAGCAACACGAGCAAAACUCCGUCUC